rnacentral:lncRNA from 1 species
GCCAUCAGUGUUUUGGUUUUGCAUCUUGAAAAUAACCAGUAUUAUCACUCCAAAUCUAAAUCAAUUUCUGUAUAGAACAUGGAAAAAGUGAUUACUAGGAAAAAUAGUGCAUGCGCACACACAAACACACACUUUUUUGGUCUUCUAGCCCAGAAAAUGGCAUUUAACAUCUUAUUCUUUCAUUAAUAUAUAAAUGAAUGCAAAUGUCUGAUAGUUGCUUAAGGUUUCAAAACUCAUUAGACCCACAUAACAAUGCUCUAAGGGAAAAAAAGGGUUAGCUCUGUUUAACAGUUGAGGAAAUAGCUUUUAUAAAACAAUUACAGCUAAAAAGAAACCAUAAAAUAUUAAAGAAUCAAGGAAGAUAAAAGAAACAGGGUUACCAGGGUUAGUAAAUCACUGAAUUUGGUGGUGCAUUUAUACAUCUGUGUAUGCUGGUUUACAGUUGGAUUAUUAAAAAGAAAAUCCUGCAGGGCAAUAUCUAGGGAGGCAAAUCACAUUGUGCUCCCCUCUCUCCCUGGAAAUCUUCAUCCUUGAAAAAUCAAGUGAAAAAUUGCCUUUAAAAAUUUUGUUGAAAUGAGAAGGGGCAGCCUUGGAGGAGGUUUUGAGAAAUGAAGGAUGAUCAAGGUGACCACUUUUUCUUUUCUUGGUAGUAGAAGGAUUGCUUGCCUAUCUACAAUUUGUCUGUUGAUAAUCUCUCACCCUUUCCCCAACACUGUUUGGCCCUGGGUCCCUUCCUUACUUGUGCAUGGACUGCAACCAAGACUCCAGUUCACUUCAGGGCCAUGAAUCCUCGAGAGUUAAAGUCGUAAUGAUGCGUUUUGUGUGUAGAGGGUUUUUUUGGUAAGGGGAGGAGUGGCGGGGUGUAGAGAUUUAUAAUGUAAACAGAAAAUUAAUCAGGUAGACUUCAUUCUAAUGAGACUAAAAUGCCACAACGCUUAUCAUUCUUCAAUUCUCAAAACCUCCUUUAAGGCUCCCUUUUCUCAUACAGAGAUCUUUAAAUGUAAUUUUUUUGUUUAUUCCAUAGAGAUCAAGAUUUUCCAGGGAGGAAGGGGAGCACACAAUAUAAUUUGUCUUCCCUUGGGGUUGUCCAAUGGGAUCUUCUUUUUUAUUUCAGAACCUACCGGAGAGAUUCAGCCAUUCGUCUCAAGUCUUCAUUCUGCUGCUUUAAACGUUCCAGCUUUGCCAGAAUCUUAGACAGUUCUCAACUAGAGUGAUCCGGGUGGUCAUUAUCUUGAACCAAGUGACCACCUAUAUAAAAUAGCAAGGUCCCCCAGGCAAAAAGAAUGAGCAUAAUCCAACACCAGGAACCAGUCCAUGGCUGCAUUUUCAGAUUUUCAACUCACUCUCCUAGCUUCCUGGAGCUCAAAGAAUUGAAAACAUCAUAACUGUUUCUAGUUAGUACACAGAUGAAAAAACUUCAGAUGUUUCAAUACAUGAUGCUUCAGAACAAUUAGUCUCUCUGGUAGUCCUGUGACGAAUCUUUCAAAGAGAUCCUUCUGGUGAUUGAAUAGGAAGCUUCAUGGACUCUAUGUGCUGAAUUUGUUCAGUCAAUCAAUAAAGGAAAUAAAGCACUUUAUGUUGAAUGAAAACACCAUCAGAGUCAUGGAUGUUCUCUUAGCAAAAGCAGCAGCAACCAGUGGAAUGGAGCAGUGCACACAGUGGACUGCAGUGGCUGGUGAGUUAUUCAGGUUCACAUGUUCCCCAGGGGAAGGAGAUUGGCAGGUAGGAAUCUUGGAGAGGGCCCAACUGAGCUUGAAACUCAGAGCAGCUGCAGGAUGGCUCCAUCAUGGUGAAGCAGAACCCUCAUAAACUAUUUUUAACUAUAUACAAUCAGGUGCUAUAUUUAAGCACCAUAGAAAAGCUGUUACCUUUAUCAACCAGGAGAAGCAAGGGCUAAUGUAAGGUAACUAUAAAAAUAUAAAAGGGUAAAUUGUUUCUCUAAAUGAAGGAAAAUCACUUUAUCUGAAAAGCCACCUUAUAUGUACCAAAAAUUUCCACAAAAAAUUCUAUUUUGCCAGGACAAUUAAGCAAGAUAAAGGUAGGUAAAUGGUCAGUAAUCUAUCCAUUAGAAGUGUUUCAAAAAUUUACAAAAAGGACCUUAGCAUUCUGACUUCCAAACUAGUCUCUUGUUAUAAUCAUCACAUGGUUCUCUGCUGUUCUUUUUCCACAAUUAGGAAAAAAAAAACCACAGUCAACUAACUUCACCAAGUUCAUACCUACAUUGCUGGUGGUUAUUGCCAAUUAUUGCAUGAUGAAGAAAUGAAAUUAUAAAGAAAGUACAACCAUUAACAUUUCCAUGGUCAUUAUCUUUUUUUCAUUAAACAAACUGUAUAAAGUAAUCUUAUAAUGGGGUAGCACACAACACUUGUUUUAGCAAACAAAAUGGACAAAAGCAUGCUUAUGCAGGCACAGUCAAAUUCUUGUUAGAACUAAUCCAAGUGUGGAUGUAUUUAAAACACAGCAAAGCUCCGGGUGUCACAAUUUGAAGUAAAAAUACAGUAGUUGAGCACUCAUGAAAAUGAGGACAUACUUUUGCUCUGAACCAAAAACAAUCAAACUUUAAAAAUAUCACUUUGCUACUUUCUGAUCCAUUUGGUUUAAUUCACCCAUUUGGUAAUUUCAAGCAUCUUGUUAAUACCUUAGGUAAAACAAUCACGCAGAGAUACAAAAUAACCACUACAUCGAUGGGCCUAUCACUAGUCACAACAUACAUGUGUGGUAGAAAUCUUGGUUUAUUUCUUCAAAUUUUCUCAUUCUAGAGCUAGGGAACUAAUAAAAGGGUGGGUGGGAUGGAGAAAAGAUAUCAAUAUAACUGGUGCAUGAUUUAUGAAAGCACCACAAAUGAAAAAAAUCAAGUACAGAAACUAAUGAUUGACUGUAUGUAUAAAGGAAGCUUACAACAAGAAAAAUACCACUAAAUACAUUACAGUGACUUGAUUCUCAUUGGUUUACCUAUUAUUUUUCAAGAACACAGUUGUAUGAAGAAGUAAAAUACGCUUCUUUGAUAAAUGUAGGUACAAGCACCACUAAAAAUUCUGGUCAAGUAAAAUUAUGGGGAAUCAAAAUAUAUUUAUUCGAAGACUACUUCCGAGGCUGUAACACAGGGCUGGCUAUAAGAUUUUUUUUUUUUUUUUGGUACCGGGGAUCGAACUCAGGACCUUGUACUGGCAAGGCAGUCAGGUGUCGGCACUACUGAGCUAAAUCUCUGGCCCUAUAAGAUCUAUUUUAAAGAGUACAUAUAUCCUGUCCUAUUCUCAAUGGGCUGAAAUGGAUAAUUUACAUGACUGUGAACACUGAUUUUCCAAUUUUAACCUAGUAAAUAUCUGCAUCUAUUAAAUGGAAAUUGCUCUGCAAAAUAACAU